ACACCAGCGAGCAGGUGCGAGGUGGCAGCGGGGGUGGGGAGGUCCUGUAGAACUUUCUCUCCCUUCUCCCCCACUUUCCCAUCAGGGAGCAUGACCUCAGACAGGACUGGCAAGGGGUGAAGAAGAGAGAACUCGCUAGGAGGUCAAACAGCCAAGACAUUCCUAUUGACCUUUCUUGCCAGACAGAGGCAGGAUUCCAUGUCUACUGGAGCUGGUGGGGCCAGGGCAAGACUUCCGGGCCCUUUUGUUCCCUCAGGUGGCCGGGACCCCUCUAAGCCGCCCGCUACAGCUCAGGAAACGAACAAGGAGGGAGAAGCCUAGAGCAGGUGGAGCAUCCUGGACCCUGGGACGUGGGGCACGGGAAGUACAGGCCUCUGGGACCCAGAAACCAGAGGCCCCGCUGUUCUGUGCACUGCGGCCCCGUUUAGCAUCAGGAAACCUCCAGAAGGCUGGGCACUGAGUUUCACUCCUCAGCUGCUCAGGACACCUUUCCUCCUUAAUGCCAGGAAACAGACGCUGAGCCAGCCUGGCGUGACUACAGGCAGUUGGGGGCCAUGUGCUGCACUUCUGAGCCUUGGCUGGAUUCCCCUGGGAACUCAGUGAGGACCAAGCAGCUUUGCUGCACUAAGUCUCUGGGGCUUGGCUCAGGGCCUCCAUUUCCCUCUGCAAACCAAGAGCACUUGAAAAUGGCCUCGUAGCUACACUUCAGAGUGAAAAAGGAAGGACAAAGGUUGAUCACAGAAGACAACUUUAGACCCUUAUCAGCCUGCAGUCUGCACCAGGAGAAGCUACAGAACAAGCUUUACUAACCAGCCUCUCUCUACCGUUAGUUCCCAUUUAUUUGUCUUCCCACAAUUUGCUGCCUCAGAGACGCAAGGGCCUUUUCCUUUGUGCCCUUGCUUCUCUAAAAUUGUAUUGCUUUUUGUCGAAGGUGCUGUAUAACCAGAGUUCUA